rnacentral:tRNA from 1 species
GGCUCCGUGGCGAAAUUGGUAGACGCAUCGCUUGUGGCAAAUUGGCGAUCAGCAGGAACAGAAGCCGCGUUGCAAGAGAAACGCUGGUUGCGGGUUCGACUCCCGUCGGAGCCA